CUUGGCGAUCUGAGCGCCGUCUUUUUGACACGCCCUGACUGCCUCAUCAUAGGUCAGCUUAGAGGGAUGGAUCAGCCAAUAGUGAAAGUGGUCUGAUCCAUCAUCCUGCUGGUUUUUAUUGGAUUACUGUCUUAAGGAACCUGGUUAAUUAAAGGGUUCUCUGGGUGUGUUGAUGGGAUACUGGACCGAACCAUCAUUCAGCCAGCCGGCGUUGCACCAGUCCAUCCCUCCCCGCCACGCAUCGUAC